rnacentral:rRNA from 1 species
UGGGGAAUAUUGCACAAUGGGCGAAAGCCUGAUGCAGCGACGCCGCGUGAGGGAUGACGGCCUUCGGGUUGUAAACCUCUUUCAGCAGGGACGAAGCGCAAGUGACGGUACCUGCAGAAGAAGCACCGGCUAACUACGUGCCAGCAGCCGCGGUAAUACGUAGGGUGCAAGCGUUGUCCGGAAUUACUGGGCGUAAAGAGUUCGUAGGCGGUUUGUCGCGUCGUUUGUGAAAACCAGCAGCUCAACUGCUGGCUUGCAGGCGAUACGGGCAGACUUGAGUACUGCAGGGGAGACUGGAAUUCCUGGUGUAGCGGUGAAAUGCGCAGAUAUGAGGAGGAACACCGGUGGCGAAGGCGGGUCUCUGGGCAGUAACUGACGCUGAGGAACGAAAGCGUGGGUAGCGAACAGG